GGGGUUCUGGCUCAGUGGUAGAGUGCUUGCUUAGAAUGUAUGAGGCACUGGGUUCAAUCCUCAGCACCACA
rnacentral:tRNA from 1 species